rnacentral:lncRNA from 1 species
GAAUGCCUGAAUCUGAAUCUUUAAUAAACGUCAGUAUUUUUUAUUUUUGAGUCAUUCCUGUGUUUGUCUUAACUGUUUUUCAGAUUGUGUUUUUGUGUGGUUAAAAUUCCAAACAAAGUGAAUGUGAUUACAUGUAGGGGUGGAGCUAAAGCAGCAUGAUAAAACAUGAAAGAUACCAAACAUAUGUAGAACCUGCAGGCGGCCAAACUAAUCACUUAAUUUUUCCUUUAACAGGCUCCCAGCUGCAUUUAGCAAAAGAGCAAAGCAACGACGGAGAGAAAAUUCGAGAGCUGUCGGAGGUGCUGCGGGAUAAAGAGCGUCGCAUUCAACAGCAACUGGAACGCUGCGCAGAGGAGCGAGGGAGGAAGAUGGAGGAGCAGAGGAGGAAGGAGCAGCAGCGCAAGGCGGCGGCUGUGGAGAAGAGACGAAAACAGCAAGAGGCGGAAAAGGAGAGGCUGGAGGCCAUGGUACGCCGAAGAGCCGGGGCCCUGAAAGACGAGGAGGGGGAGGUGGAGGUGGAGGAGGAGAAGCCCGGGAGCACCUGGAUAACAGGCCUAAACGGUGGACAUGGGGAGGACCGCCUGAUGGAGUGGAGGGUAACCCUAAGACCCCACCCUGCCAUGCCAUUGGCUCCGCUCAGCCCAAUGAGCUUCCUGCUGCUUCCAGUGCCAGCCAGUCCCGUAACGCGGUUGACUUCCUGUCUCCACCAACUGAUCAGCCAAUCAACAAACAGCUUUCCAACUCUUCAGCUGCUCUUCACUCACCGGACGGAGUGUCUUUUGUGUCCCAUCGAACAGCUUCAUCCAACAACCACAAACUAA